CCUACGGGAGGCAGCAGUGAGGAAUAUUGGUCAAUGGGCGCGAGCCUGAACCAGCCAAGUAGCGUGAAGGAUGACUGCCCUACGGGUUGUAAACUUCUUUUAUAAAGGAAUAAAGUGAGUCACGUGUGCCUUUUUGUAUGUACUUUAUGAGUAAGGAUCGGCUAAUUCCGUGCCAGCAGCCGCGGUAAUACGGAGGAUCCGGGCGUUAUCCGGAUUUAUUGGGUUUAAAGGGAGCGUAGGUGGGUUGUUAAGUCAGUUGUGAAAGUUUGCGGCUCAACCGUAAGAUUGCAAUUGAUACUGGCAGCCUUGAGUACAGUUGAGGCAGGCGGAAUUCGUGGUGUAGCGGUGAAAUGCUGAGAUGUCACGAAGAACUCCGAUUGCGAAGGCAGCUUACUAAAGUGCAACUGACAUUGAUGCUCGAAAGUGUGGGUAUCAAACAGGAUUAGAUACCCGAGUAGUC
rnacentral:rRNA from 1 species